rnacentral:rRNA from 1 species
AACGAACGCUGGCGGCAUGCCUAACACAUGCAAGUCGAACGAGACCUUCGGGUCUAGUGGCGCACGGGUGCGUAACGCGUGGGAACCUGCCCAUAUGGUCGGCAUAACUCCCCGAAAGGGGUGCUAAUACCGGACAAUGUCUUCGGACCAAAGAUUUAUCGCCUUUGGAUGGGCCCGCGUUGGAUUAGCUAGUUGGUAGGGUAAGAGCCUACCAAGGCGACGAUCCAUAGCUGGUCUGAGAGGAAGAUCAGCCACACUGGGACUGAGACACGGCCCAGACUCCUACGGGAGGCAGCAGUGGGGAAUAUUGGACAGUGGGCGAAAGCCUGAUCCAGCAAGGCCGCGUGAGUGAUGAAGGCCUUAGGGUUGUAAAGCUCUUUUACCCGGGAUGAUAAUGACAGUACCGGGAGAAUAAGCGCCGGCUAACUCCGUG